GCUAAGCCCUAAACAUUGAUAGUAGUCAUUACAUUACUUUCCGCCAGAGAACUACAAGUGAAAAACUUGAAACUCAAAGGACUUGACGGUGUCCCAUAUCGACCUAGAGGAGCCUGUCCUAUAAUCGAUACUCCCCGUUCCACCCAACCUCAACUAGCAAAAUAUCAGCCUAUAUACCGCCGUCGACAGUCUACCCCAUGAGGGCUCAACAGUAGACACAACAGCCUUAACGCUAAUACGUCAGGUCAAGGUGUAGCAAAUGUUGAGGAAAAGAUUGGCUACAUUUUUUAUGAUAAAAAACACGAAUUGCACUAUGAAACACUGCAUGAAGGUGAAUUUAGUAGUAAAACAGACAAGAGUGUCUGUUUUAACAACGCUCUGGGACGCGU
rnacentral:rRNA from 1 species